rnacentral:rRNA from 1 species
UGACGAGGAAUAACGAGACCGUUCUCUACGAGGCCGGUCAUCGGAAUGGGUAUAAUUUAAACCCUUGGAACGAGUAUCUAUGAGAGGGCAAGUCUGGUGCCAGCAGCCGCGGUAAUUCCAGCUCUCAAAAUGCAUAUAAUUAUUGCUGCGGUUAAAAAGCUCGUAGUUGGAUAUGUGCUCUUGACUUAGUCCACCUUCGGGUGCGUACUAGGCUCUUGGGCUUUGUGCCUGUUUAACGUCGUAGGCUUUAUUGUUUGCGGCGGGUAGCUGGUGAUUUUACUUUGAAUAAAUCAGAGUGCUUCACACAAGCGGUUUGCUUGAAUGUUUUUGCAUGGAAUAAUAGAAGAGGAUUUUGGUUGGAUUUUAUUGGUUUUAGAGAUUGAAAUAAUGGUUAACAGAGACUGACGGGGGCAUUCGUAUCGCUGCGUGAGAGGUGAAAUUCUUGGACCGCAGCGCGACGUACAACAGCGAAAGCAUUUGCCAAGAAAGCCUUCAUUAAUCAAGAACGAAAGUCAGAGGUUCGAAGGCGAUCAGAUACCGCCCUAGUUCUGACCGUAAACGAUGCCAACUAGUGAUCCGCCGGCGGUUAUAUAGCCUUGGUGGGGAGCUUCCCGGAAACGAAAGUCUACUGGUUCCGGGGGAAGUAUGGUUGCAAAGCUGAAACUUAAAGGAAUUGACGGAAGGGCACCACCAGGAGUGGAGCCUGCGGCUUAAUUUGACUCAACACGGGGAAAACUCACUCGGUUAGAACAGCAUAAGGAUUGACAGAUUGAUAGCUUUUUCAUGAUUUGGUGGAUGGUGGUGCAUGGCCCGUUCUUAGUUCRUGGAGUGAUUUGUCUGGUUUAUUCCCGAUAACGAGCGAGACUCU